rnacentral:rRNA from 1 species
GACGAACGCUGGCGGCGUGCUUAACACAUGCAAGUCGAACGGAAAGGCCCUGCUUUUGUGGGGUGCUCGAGUGGCGAACGGGUGAGUAACACGUGAGUAACCUGCCCUUGACUUUGGGAUAACUUCAGGAAACUGGGGCUAAUACCGGAUAGGAGCUCCUGCUGCAUGGUGGGGGUUGGAAAGUUUCGGCGGUUGGGGAUGGACUCGCGGCUUAUCAGCUUGUUGGUGGGGUAGUGGCUUACCAAGGCUUUGACGGGUAGCCGGCCUGAGAGGGUGACCGGCCACAUUGGGACUGAGGUACGGCCCAGACUCCUACGGGAGGCAGGAGUGGGGAAUAUUGCACAAUGGGCGGAAGCCUGAUGCAGCAACGCCGCGUGCGGGAUGACGGCCUUCGGGGUGUAAACCGCUUUCGCCUGUGACGAAGCGUGAGUGACGGUAAUGGGUAAAGAAGCACCGGCUAACUACGUG